UUAUUAGGAAAGGCACCUUCCUUCAGUAUAGAGUUUUCAUUUUUGAAUCUCAAAAUUCGCUUUCUGCUUUGCUGCUGCAAAAGUUUCAAACAUUUCUAAUUACCAAGUGCUCUAUUAUAAAUAACUAUAGCUAAAAGCAAAAACAAAAAGCAAGUGAAAAAAUGUCUGUCUUUUUCAAUGCAAAAGUAGUUUUCCCACUUAAAAAAUAUUUCCCCCCAGCUAAUUCAAGCCAAUCAGAAAAACAACAAAUUAACAUUUACUACAAAUUACUGACCGUCUCUAGCGCAAGUGGCAAAAGACUUAGUGAUUGGUAUCUGAGGUCCCAAGUUCGAAUCCUAGUUGAUUCACAUUUCUAGCUAAGUUUAUUUCUAAAUAAAAUAAACGAAACCGGUAGCAUGCUACCUAUCUCUCUCUCAGAAAAAAUAAAAAUAAAAAAAUAAAAAAAAAACAUUUACUACAAAUUU
rnacentral:lncRNA from 1 species